rnacentral:rRNA from 1 species
GACGAACGCUGGCGGCGUGCCUAAUACAUGCAAGUUGAGCGCUGAAGGUUGGUACCUGUACCAACUGGAUGAGCAGCGAACGGGUGAGUAACGCGCGGGGAAUCUGCCUUUGAGCGGGGGACAACAUUUGGAAACGAAUGCUAAUACCGCAUAAAAACUUUAAACACAAGUUUUAAGUUUGAAAGAUGCAAUUGCAUCACUCAAAGAUGAUCCCGCGUUGUAUUAGCUAGUUGGUGAGGUAAAGGCUCACCAAGGCGAUGAUACAUAGCCGACCUGAGAGGGUGAUCGGCCACAUUGGGACUGAGACACGGCCCAAACUCCUACGGGAGGCAGCAGUAGGGAAUCUUCGGCAAUGGACGAAAGUCUGACCGAGCAACGCCGCGUGAGUGAAGAAGGUUUUCGGAUCGUAAAACUCUGUUGGUAGAGAAGAACGUUGGUGAGAGUGGAAAGCUCAUCAAGUGACGGUAACUACCCAGAAAGGGACGGCUAACUACGUG